CGCGGGGUGGAGCAGCCUGGUAGCUCUUCGGGCUCAUAACCCGAAGGUCGUCGGUUCAAAUCCGGCCCCCGCAACCA
rnacentral:tRNA from 3 species